GGAUGUAGUAUCCUUGUUUUAUUUAUUAUGUAAUUAAUUAGUUUCUUUGAGUGGGUUGCAUACUAAUUAUGGUGGCUUGGAGCCACGUGUACCCAUGCAUGCUUAUCAACAUGCAUGUGCUUAGCAACUUGCACGUACACCCCCUCCCAUUGCAUGCAUAUCUGUUUAAUUAAGGAGGGUGUGCAUGCACUUCACUAAUUAAGUCUCUCGUUUCUCUCUCUUUCUCGUGCGACUGAAGCAGGGGACAAGCUUGAGGAGUGCCGCGGAGAGAUUUCGCCGUCGACGUCGCGCCGCGGAACCGAUCGAGCACGUACUUGACGUCGGGGCAGCGCGAGGAAGCUGUGCGAGCGCGAGUCGUUGCUGUUAUCGUCGACGCACCGGAGUUGGACAGCGGGUGUGCUUGUACGCGACGUAGGAAUGUCGGAUCGCGACGAGACUUGGUUCGUUGGAUUCGGGACUUCGAGAGAAAUCCAUGAAGCCCUUAUUUUCCAGAUUUGGUGAAGAGCUUGGAGUUAGCGCGAUUCUUGGGUUCGAAGGGCUACGAUCGACCCAGCAGGUGGCGCCACAGCUGUGAGAGUGUACCGCUGCCAGGGGAUAGCUUUCGAGGUGGGUUUACAUCGGUUUAUUCCUAAGUACCGUAAUCGUCGACAUGUAUGAUUUUUCAGUUUCGGUAAUCAUAUUGUAGCUUGAUAUUCGUGAUGCUAUCCUGGAUAAAAUCAGUAUUGAGAACAUGACUAGUAAAUCUUAAAUGUACAUGUUGGACUGGGAUUUGACUUAGGAGAAAACACGAUUGGAAUCG